rnacentral:rRNA from 1 species
GAGGGUGCGCGGAGGGGAGGAGGGUGGGUGUAGCGGCGACGGCGGUGGGUGGCGGAGCUUGGCGCGGCAGCCGUCGGUCUAGGGGCGUCAUCUCGGGGGGAAGGUUGCUGCUGCUCGUCGUCGCCUCCCUCCUACGCUUCGUGCUGCCACCGCCGCCGCCCCUCGUCGUCGCCGUCCGGUUCCACCGUGUUAUCGUCCGGAACCCGCUGCCGCUGCUCGCUGCUCGUGCCGCCGCCGCUCGCGAGGCGGUAGAGGUAGCGGUGCCGGGCGGGAGGACAGGCGUAGAGGGCGCCGACGAGGAGACCGUCCUCCUCGUCGGGCUGCCGACGGAGGUGUCGUCAUCACCUUAGUGUAGGGCGUGCGUGGCCUUCCGCUGGCCUUCCACCGCUCGCCGUCGGAGUGGUAGCUGUGUGAGCGGCGACUGCGGCCGCCGUUGCUUCCCUAGGACCGGCAGGGGCAGAGGAAGUGUAGUUUAGGCAGUUCCAGUUCACCUAACGUAGUGCCGACCACACGCCUACCCGUGCCUCGGUGCUUGCGUGUGGAGAUGCCGCUGCGACGGCAGAGCCACGAGGAGCGGAGGGUGAGGCUGCUGCUGUUGAAGCUGCACGAGUAUGUGGAGGAGCGGGAGUAGCGCGUCCGCCAGUUCUUGCGCCACCACGUCAGCGAACUCGACUUCUGCGAGCAGGACAGAUGGAGAUGGAGACGGACAAGGUGAUACGGCUCUCUAAGGUCAAAGAUUAAUCGCCAGUUCCUCACCUAUUGACGUGUUGAAACCUUUACGUACUCCAUCACCGACAAUUUUUGUAUGAGGGAGGCAAGGAUUUAUAAACAGAAAACCCUUAAAGUUUACCUGAUGGUGUAUGUCUACAUAUAUCUGUGUAAAAUCUCGCAUCUAAGUAAGUAAAACGAGGCAUACAUCAGUGAACAACUUUGGAGAUCUUUCUGUUUAUAAAUCCUUGCCUCCCUCAUCUACUGACAUUGUUUAUUACACACUCUUGUUCCUCGGUUUUUAUAACCUUUUGUUGGUAUUCUAUCUAUCACCUAAGCCACUAAACCAAUAAUACCUCCAACUACCUUGAACCAGAUGAUAGCCUUAAGACUCGGUAUUUCGUAACCUGAACCUGUUCGUUGUUUGUUAGUUUCUGCGCAUGCACUGACGAGGUACCAAGUAUCGAGAAGGUACCGUCGUUGGUCGCCAGGGUUCCGGUUCCUGUUAACAACAUUCCUUACACAAAGGUACGUGGACGUAGCUGGAAAUCCUGACCACUCUAUAAACUUCGAGAUGCGAACACACGUGAUUUUACCUCUCGUAGAGGAAAAAAAUUACCACACUAGAACUAAGAACCUAGUUUGACUAAGUGUUCUACUGCUCGCACCGUUAGAGCCGCCCGAGCGAUUUCAGCCCCCUUCCUCUCUUUGUUACCCCUUCCCUCGUAUUGUACCUACACCCCGUCCUCUCCGGCACCAGCCUCGCCGUAACGCACCCGUAUAACCCAUAAUAAACUCGACUAUGAGGUAAAAGAAUGUUCUCUACACCAGGGCAGCUACAACCGACAGCUUAAACACGACGUCAGGUACGGGUGGUGCAGGCUCAGAAGUGGGGAAGCAGUAGGUUGUGCUUGUCGUCUUGUCUCAUCGUCAGCACUAAACGGUCCAACCUCUUGACUGCGUCGAACGACGGUGUCUCACGAGCGGGAAGAAGACACGGUAUUUCGGGGAGCCGGCUUUGAACGUUUAGUUUUAACGGCUGGGAUAGUUAGAGCGACCUUGCUGCAGAUCGAGCAACACGAGGUGAGUGAGAUUGCCGUAUAGAGUAUUGAUUUCGGUACUUGUUCACGAAGUCAAUACGACCACCGUUAUGUAACGAACUCCACUGGAGUACACGUUCUAAUAGGGGUACCUCCCUCGACCGUACCUCUGUAAACGAGUGUAGUCAUGAUACUCGUCGGACCAACCCACCACUGCAAAGGCUCACCGGUUCGUUCUCGAAAAAAACCAGAUCUGGAUACGUCACCACUGAAGACGAUGUUACACGUAGUUGUGGUCUUGGUACAAGGGCUAGUACCUGCGACAACACAGGGAGUGGCCGAGAGAGGAACGGUAGUGGCUCUCCCAACACGUCCGGUGAUGAGCGCGUUGAUGAAACGUCACACCUCGUACGGUAGCUCUAUCUGGUUUUCUUCUUGUAGCGGCUGUUGUUGUGGUUGCCCCCGGAGGAACCAACGGUGGUGGCGGCGACGGCAGCAGCGGGAGGGACGGUGGGGUGUGGUGUGACGGUCUAUCCAUACACACGAAAAGGGAACGGGGGACGAAUAACGUGAGAACGGAUAUACAUUAGAGGAUAAGACAACAUUUUAAGAAAAACGAAUACUAAAGAAUAACAUCACACUUUAAAAUUAACGAACCCAACAAUGACGAUACUUUUAUAUAACGAUAUAAAUCCAAACAAUGAAAUCAGAGAGAAGGAGGGAACAAAAUAUGACCAUACUUUAAGAUAAAACGACGUUCUAGUUUCUCUAAGAAAAACUUGUGUUAGACACAGCACUCCUGACUUAAUGCACAUAGAUACUAUAGAAAAUUAAAACCAGUAGACAUAAAAUGUUCUCAAAGUCACAUAUGAAUAAAAAGUAGGAAUAGUCUUAUUCCUACGUGGAACUUAAUAUACGUCAAAAGUUCUGGUAGCAAACCUUAAAAUAUGUCAAAGAAAACUACUUUUAUAAAUCAAACAGUAUUUUAAGGUUACUUAUGUUAAGACCUACUCCUGUCUUAUUACACAUCGAUACUACCUACAAGAAUAAAGUCACUGAGUAGUAGGCCUCUAUUAUCACUCUACUUAAUAGUUAAUACCGAAAGAAAGUUAUAUAGUAUGACUUGGAAGUAGGAAACCCGUUGUGAACGUACGUUACCCGAAACCGCGAGACCUAGAAAAAUCAAAAAAGACUUGGAAGCCUUAUAUUUGGUAUAGAAUCAUCCAACCUAUAACUAC